UUGUCUUGGCAGUGUCACACAACAUACAGGCCGAACAUUCUUACUGCUCAGCUGCAUACUAAAUUCAUCAGAAUGAACUCAGCAAUGUCUCUACAACUCCUGAUACACAUGAUCUUCAAUUCACACCAAAUGUAAAUGACAGCAGAGCUCUGAAGAAGGAAAUACAGCGUACUUUCCACCUCAAAAAAAGAGCACAACAGAUUAA